GACGAACGCUGGCGGCGUGCUUAACACAUGCAAGUCGAACGGAAAGGCCCUGCUUUUGUGGGGUGCUCGAGUGGCGAACGGGUGAGUAACACGUGAGUAACCUGCCCUUGACUUUGGGAUAACUUCAGGAAACUGGGGCUAAUACCGGAUAGGAGCUCCUGCUGCAUGGUGGGGGUUGGAAAGUUUCGGCGGUUGGGGAUGGACUCGCGGCUUAUCAGCUUGUUGGUGGGGUAGUGGCUUACCAAGGCUUUGACGGGUAGCCGGCCUGAGAGGGUGACCGGCCACAUUGGGACCGAGAUACGGCCCAGACUCCUACGGGGGGCAGCUGUGGGGAAUAUUGCACAAUGGGCGGAAGCCUGAUGCAGCAACGCCGCGUGCGGGAUGACGGCCUUCGGGUUGUAAACCGCUUUCGCCUGUGACGAAGCGUGAGUGACGGUAAUGGGUAAAGAAGCACCGGCUAACUACGUG
rnacentral:rRNA from 1 species